CGCCUCUCUCUGUCUCUUUCUCGUCUUUUCUCAUUUUCCCACUAGAAAACGAGAAAAAAAAAUGCAAAAAGAUAGUGAAAUGAACGCAUCAAUUCCGGGAUCUAGGCAAUUGAAUUGUAGAAAUCAUACGUGCCUUGCAUUCCUUAUUAACCGCCUGUCCAAAAGAGGAAUUUUGCAGAUCUUUUGCGAGUUUUACUGCAGCAAAGCACCAGGGCCUCCACCUGCUGUUCAUUCAGGUGAUCAAUUCUUUGCGUGAAGAUAUAGAGCAUUCCUCAUUUACUACGUGGUUCUGAUAUUCUUCACCUUAGUUUCAACGACCGAGUGUGCCAUGAGUUAAGCCAUCCCAUUACCAAGUCACUAGACUUUGACCAUUGUGUGCCGUUGAAAGAUAACAACAGUGAAUAAGGAGAGUAACAUUGAGAAACAGGCCUGGAAGUUGACUCGAUAUGCAGCUUAGGCUAAGAACUGAAACUUAGUAUCUUCCAUGAGUUUGAAGCUGUGGUGGUACUAAUUUAUUUUCCUGGUCCAUUGACAUGAAGAAAAAAUUUCUAACCUACUUUACAACGAGUCAGAAUGAAUCCAAUUAGUGGAACACAUAGUGACAUUUAAUAUAUCUGAAGUGUAUCAAAAUUAAUUUAUCGACAUUUUUAGCUGUAUUUGAUCUGGACGAAUAAUGUUAGACUAUUUCCUCUAUCUCAUCAUUAUUCUACACUUUCCAUUUGGGAUGCCUCAAAAUAAAAUCAUUUCACAAUAUUGAUUAAUCAUUUUGAUAUUAUCUCUAUACUAUUCUUUUGUUAAAAUUUUAUAAGGUCAUAAAGUGUAAUUAGUCUUUUCAUUUGAUGGUGGUGUAGUAUAUGAAUGUUAAUUAACUGGAAGACACGCAAUGGAUGCAUGUUCCUUAAACGAUAGGACUUCAAAAUGAAGUUCUUUUAAUGUGAUAGAGGGAGUCCAUUUAUCCCUAAACACAUCAUUCUAUGUUCUGUUCUGUUUUUGUUUUUAGUUGUGACAAUGUGUUAUCAAUUCUGUGAUAAGAGAAGUAGAUUUAAAGAAGUUAUCAACUGUUCCCAUUCGAUCAUCCAAGUCUAGUGAUCAGAAAAUGAUUGCUGAGAGCAAUAGAGUAAGCAAGAGAUUAUUCAAACCUUGUUUUAAGUCCAACUAGUUCCACAAUUUGGUGAUGAUGGACCUGGACAAGUUAGUUUCUCUUCGUUCAAGUCACUGUUACUUUUAGUGUAGUUUUUGAAAGCCAUCGAUCCUAAUUCACAUUAUCCUUCUCCAAUGUGUGACCAAAUAAUUUCUUGAUUUGAUGGUCUCACCUAUGCCACAUCACGUGUAUAUGACUUUGAUUAAUUCCUGUUUUAAAUGUUUUCCAUUUUUUAUGCCAUCUUUGCCAUUUUGCACUUCUUUCUCUCAAGAGCUUUCUUAUUUAUUUAUCUUCAUAGGUGAAGCCUUGAAAGAAGUGCAGGCUUCUGCAUUCCAGUGCAAUGAACUCCUUUAAUAUGUAUAACUAUGGCACUAGCUAAAAGUGCUUCGGACAUGUCAUGCAUUCUAUUAGUUGAGAUAAAACUUGUGAUGCUAUAACGUGUUAAAAUAUCUCUCGUGGGUGAUUUGGAUGAGCGUCUUAUAUCAGUAGCCUUAUUCCAUCCAAUAUAGUUAUAGUAGUUAUCUCUUCAGAUGUAUUUCAAUCAGCUUUGUCAUACUACCAAAUUUAGUCUCAAGUUCAUCACUUCUGAAUAUAAAAUAUCUGUUGAAAAAAACACCAGGAUUCCUUUGCAGGAAUUGGUCUUGAAAUUUUAUUUUAGGACAUUUCAAAGAAAUAAAAUGUUACUGUGACUCGUCUUUUUCAAAUCUUUUAGGAAGAGUUUGAGUCUAUAUGUCUUAGACACAGGUAUGAUCUCUCCCAAAAUUCUAAAAUGGUUUUUUUGUGAUCUUGAGUUACCAUAAAAAAUGGGAGGACUUUAGGUUUUAAAUCCCAAUAAACAUUGUUGUACUUGAAAAGAUUUUCGCUGUUCACCAGACUUGUGUCUUUUUGCAGACUGUAACUGUUCUUGACACUGUAGAGGAACUUGUAGAAGAACAUAGUCUGGACCCUCUACUUUCUGAGAAGUAGUAGUCCUCAUUUUCUUUAGCACUUUUGCAAUUUAUGGUUGGCAGAUUAGUUUCAUUAUUAGAGCCAAAAUUGACUAGAAGCUAGAAUAGAUAUAUCCCGUAAACUGAAGUAACAUUGUCUCAAUUAUACUUGUGAAUGCUCCAGACUUGAGCUUCAUAUUGAAUUCAUUUAAAAAUCUCUAAAUAUUAUUAUUGUUGAAGUGAAAAAUGGUUAUAAUUAAUGUGUUGCCAAACUUUCUACCAUCUCAAUUCUGUAUGUAAGCAUAUAAUUUCCCAUGAAGCACAAAAUCACAGGAGUAAUGUUGGAGCAACUGCACAAAAUCUGUCCGAAGCAAAGAAGAACGAACUCCACUGCUUGAUGUGGAUGUUGCGAAAGGUCGGUCAUGUGCAGAAUUUAAAACUUUUAAUGUCAGUAUCUAAGUGAAAGCAUUUGAUUAGUCUACAUUUUAUUGAAUCCUGUAAGUUGGAAGCAAUGAAAAUUUAUUAGGUUGUAAUUUUAUGCUAUAUACCGUAGCUGUUUAAAAAAAUAUAUAGCAUAGAGCAGUAAUUAAAACAGUAAAUUCUUUAAGUCCAGGUAGCAAUGCACAUAUAGAAGGCUUUGGACUUCUCAUCAUCCUGUGCUUCUGUGUGCAAGUACUGGUGGCAUCUUUUAGCUAGAAAACUAAAACCUUGUGUGGCCCAGUUGCAAGUUGUCUUGGGUUUUAACCAUUGAAUAAAAAUGUCACUGCUUAUGGGCUAGUUGAGUUACCUACUUAAGGACUCAUUUCUUUGUCUGAAAUCAUGUAGGCUAACAUGCUUAAUGCGGAUAAUAAUUUGCAUAAUAUUGUUUGCAGUUUGUGUAUCAAAGAACAGUCUCUAACAGAAGGACCAGGUAUAUGGGACAGAACUUGAGCCUUAAAAUAUUGCAUACUCAAGUUCGUGAAUAAAUUAACUACAUGUUACAAUCAGCCUGAUGUAACUGGUAUUUAUUUCACGCACUCAUAUGAGCACUGUGAGAUAACUUACAAAACACGAUUUACUCUGAAGUGACAUGACGAAGAGAGACAUGUAAAAAAAUUUGUUAAUUGUAGUAUUCCGUUCAAUUCCAUUCCGAGUUGAGAUUUGCUGUCCAAAAUUGGUUGUUCAACUUGCUCUUCAUUCAAUAAUUCAUUGCUACAUCAUUUUACACCUAUUUUUAAGCAUAAGUGGCAAUGAGAGAAAAGUUAGACAUGUUAAUUUAAAGUGAUGUGUCAAUAAAUUAUUGGGUGGACAACAUUCCAUUUAGCGCAGAACAUGCAAUGUCUAAGGUAUUCAAUAUUUUUAGGGGUAUGGCACCUGGCCUAUAAACUUUCCAUUUUUCUUCCUACUUUCUAAAUACAGGCCCUUGCAGAAUCGAGGUCCCCUACCCAUGGGCUGAUGAACUGUACAGCUCGUCCACAUCGCAGCUUGUAGUGGGUCGGGGUUGGUCGGGACUUGACAAAAGACAACCCAACAGAUUUUGACUUGUAUAAUCGGUGCAUAGAUCUACGAUUACUAAGGCUAGCAUUUCCUUACCUAUCCCCAUGGGGCUAAGCAGGAAGAGUUUAGCACUUUGCAGGCUGAACAAUGAAAAAGAGCUGGCAAUUGGUUGUUCUGAAAACUUUGCACGGUCUCAUUUCUCAUUAUCUAGUGUUUAUACAUACACCAGAUACGUAAAUGUGGGCGUGUAAUAUUCUAAAUUUUAUAGAAUUAGUUUCAUGUUUGUAGCCUUCUUACCGACUUAAGGGAGCAUUAAUUUGGAUGCCUGCAUUUAA